rnacentral:lncRNA from 1 species
CUAUUUACCAGCCGGGAAAUUAGCUCUCUGAAUGAUUUGCCCAAGAUCACCACCGAUGUAUUCACUGGUUUAACACCUGUAAUGAGAAGUCAUUUUUGCUUUGAGAGGUAGAAUAAUAGAAUAAUCUCAAGGACUAAUACACUGAUUCACAUUGAGGAAUUACUCUGGCCACCUACUGCCUGACGUUCUAGGGAACCCACACUUAAGCAGACAGGGUUCCCAUGAGAAAUGACCAUCUGCCAGUCAGCCAGGACGGAUGGCAGGUAAUACAAAUCUGACCAGAAGCGGAAGGCUGGAGGAACGAGAAGACAUUGGCAACCACCCUUGCCCUAAGCUUGCUGAGAUUAAAAAAAAAAGAAAAAAAAAGAAAAAAAUCAUGUUCAAGAGUCUCAGUUUUUUCUGUAAACUAUUUGCAACCUCGGAGUCCAGAGAAUCCAGCACUUUUGGGCCAGAGGGACUAGAUAUGGAAGAAAAUAGAAUUCCCAUAACAAAGCACUGAGGAAAAAUCAUGUUAUCUACAUUAGCACUGCAAACUGACCCAAUUCAGAAGAGGCUCUGGAAUUAACAUUUUCCAAAGCAGAUUUUAUCAGAAUAAAAUGUUUUCUUUGCCCAGAGAUACCCCUUCUUUUCAUCAUAUGUCAUGUGUUAAUUUCGGAGUCAUUUCCAUGCACCCCCAAUUCGUGUUCCUAGCGAUUACACUUCUCUCCAGAAUGAAGGACAAAUGCCACUUAUACUUUAGAUUCAAGAAGUUAGCCUCCCUAGAAUAAAGAUUUGAAGGGUCCUGCAAUCCAUUGUGAGAUUUUCUUAGAAUCUUGAAGACAGAAGCAACAGCAAUUCUUCCGUCAUUCUCUCCAGCCGAGGGCCUUGUCAGGGAGCGAAGCUGCCAGGAGGGAGCACCUGCUGCGGACAUCUCCCCAAGAUGGUCCUCCCUCAGGCACCGUGUGGUAGAGACGCGACAUAUACUCUCACUGUGUUUUCAUUACUAACUAGUUUUGGAAGGCCCUUCCUUCCAUUUCUCAUCCCUAAAGUGCUUUGUUUCUGAUGGAAAUGUAAGCUGUAUCAAUGGCUUUUCUAUCUGAUAAUUAAGACCUUUAAAUGAAACAAUAUCAGUCCUGAAUAUCUCAAAAGUGAUAGUCACAGAAAACUCUUUAAAUAGUUGCCAACUAAACUUGGAAUAUCUCACGUGGCUUAGUCAAGUGAAGAGGCGGGUCAUCUGACCUACAGUAGAACAGAGAGAAGACAGAAGCAAUGACUGAUCCAAUCCAGGUGGUUAAUUUGAUGGCUAUCUUCGGGCCGAUGCCUCUCCCAUAUAUCGAGAGGCCAACACUGUCUCAUUGUAAUUACUGGUGUGCUUGUUUGCUGUCACCGACUGGAAGCUCCUUAAAGGAAGGCAACCACCAGUCUUUGCAUCUCCCAGCUCAUUCAAUAAACAAACAUUAAUUCUGCAUGGUUUAAUGUGGUUUGUAUUUCCCCACGUUGCAUUUAACAACAGAAAGAUCCCACGUUGGCUGCUCAUUUGAACUACUUUUAAAAAGCUUAGUCUUAAAAAAAAAAAAAAAAAAAAA